AUUGAACGCUGGCGGCAUGCCUUACACAUGCAAGUCGAACGGUAACAGGUCUUCGGAUGCUGACGAGUGGCGAACGGGUGAGUAAUACAUCGGAACGUGCCUAGUAGUGGGGGAUAACUACUCGAAAGAGUGGCUAAUACCGCAUGAGAUCUACGGAUGAAAGCAGGGGAUCGCAAGACCUUGUGCUACUAGAGCGGCCGAUGGCAGAUUAGGUAGUUGGUGGGAUAAAAGCUUACCAAGCCGACGAUCUGUAGCUGGUCUGAGAGGACGAUCAGCCACACUGGGACUGAGACACGGCCCAGACUCCUACGGGAGGCAGCAGUGGGGAAUUUUGGACAAUGGGCGCAAGCCUGAUCCAGCAAUGCCGCGUGCAGGAUGAAGGCCUUCGGGUUGUAAACUGCUUUUGUACGGAACGAAAAGCCCUGGGUUAAUACCCUGGGGUCAUGACGGUACCGGAAGAAUAAGCACCGGCUAACUACGUG
rnacentral:rRNA from 1 species